GGUUUAAUUUACAUGCUUGUCCAUAUUGGCAGUGGAUUUCAAAAUCUUUCCUAGACGGUAUGCAAAGGCUGAAACAUAUAUGGUAGUGGCAUUAUGGAUCUCGGAGUAGGGUCUUUUGUAGUGGCUAACGCACUGGUGUCUAGACAAGCACGAAACAUAACCUCAAUGAGAUGGAAGGCAGCACUGAGGUCCAUAAGUCCUCUAGUGUUUCUUGGCUUUGCUCGUCUUAUCUCUACAUCAGGUGUUGAUUAUCAGGUGCAUGUAGGAGAAUAUGGUGUCCAUUGGAACUUCUUUUUCACCCUUGCACCAGUUUCUAUCCUUACAUUCAUUAUCAGGAUUCAUCCUAAAUAUUGCGGGAUAGUUGG